rnacentral:lncRNA from 1 species
UAGCCUAUAGCAGAGUGGUCUCUAUAACUUCUCUAGCCACAGAGAUCACCCCGGCCCCUGAUCUGCUCAGGACGCCUCUCCCUGCGCUGGUCUGUUUCUGGCCCCUCAGGACAAACCUUUCCUGGCGAUCUUCCAGAUUGACUUAAGCAGGUUACAGAAGGAACUCUCUUGGAAGGAUCCUACUCACAAACAGCUCUCAAGCGCUGCUGAUUUUUUAUUUCUUGUGUUUCUUGUGCCCCCCAUUGGGCGCCAUUUGUUACGGGAGCAACCUGCUAGUGGCUGCAAGGUAUUAUAGGAUCCACCUGCUAGUGGCUGCUAGGAAUCUAAUUCUGACCAGCAGAAUAGAUCCCUUCAUAUGAGAGGAUGAUAAUGAUACAAAGAGCCUGAGAGACAGUUGCAUUCUCUGACUUCUCUCCUCUCUUGCCUCCAAUUUAUUUCAUUCCCAAUCCACAAGCAACAUCUGUGUCAGUAAAGGCUGAUUUGCAAUUCCUUCAGGAGUG